AUACGGAGGAUCCGAGCGUUAUCCGGAUUUAUUGGGUUUAAAGGGUGCGCAGGCGGGAGAUUAAGUCGGCGGUGAAAUUUUGCCGCUCAACUGUAAAAAUGCCCUUGAAACUGGUUUGCUUGAGUGUAGAAGAAAGAGGGGGAAAUUGUGGUGUAGCGGUGAAAUGCAUAGAUAUCACGAGGAACUCCGAUUGCGCAGGCAGCUUACUAAACUACUACUGACGCUCAGGCACGAAGGCGUGGGGAUCAAACAGGAUUAGAUACCCUGGUAGUCCACGCAGUAAACGAUGAUUACUAGCUGUUUGCGAUACAAUGUAAGCGGCUGAGCGAAAGCGUUAAGUAAUCCACCUGGGGAGUACGUUCGCAAGAAUGAAACUCAAAGGAAUUGACGGGG
rnacentral:rRNA from 1 species